CAGGGACCUGCUGGCAAGUCGUGUCCUCCCGGAGGACUCCCAGGAGGGAUUUGAGAAGGAUCCGAUUUCCAUCCAAUGGAGAGGGCUUCAGUCAGGACCAUUGCUCCCGGAUUCUGGGUUAGGAGGGUCCUCGGGGUGACUUGGGUCCCCUUUGGGCUUCCCCGUCUUCCAUGCCCGUUUACAUAAGGCGGGAAGCUGGCUUCUCUAGGUAACCAGCCCAGUUUAGAAGACUCUCUUCUGCUCCUCCCCUCAAAGGAGGCUGGGCCAUCCACUGGACCCCUGCACGUUGGGGUGGCAGAGCUAGACUUUGUUUGGGUCCCUGGAGGAGCUGGGAAGCCCAGGGGGCUUGCUCUUUUGCAGGAACGGAUAGGCCAUCUGUGGAGUGAGAGAUGGAAAGGCUGGUGGGAAGAAAUCGACUGAUCCCUUCUGUCAGCUCCAUUUGCAAGAUUGCAUGACCCUUUGCCCAGAGUGCUGCCCUCCUCAGUGGCAUCCAGGGCACUAGGAAUCAGUGGCCUGUCCAGGGUACUCAGGGAAGAUAUGCUCAGGUCUGUGUCUCAGAAGGAGCUUGCACUGUGUAGGUGUGUAUACUCUACUUUAAAUCCUGGUCAAUUGUCCCCAGGGUCUUAGUGUCAGGAGCAGGAGAUAUUGAAGGUCUGAACCAUAUUUGGGUACCUGCUGUCUUUAAAGCCUGCUAGGAACUGUGUUCCUCUUUCUCCCAGCCUCCCUUCCCUGAGGGGUUUUAAAGACACCUCCCUUUGCUUUCACCCCCUUUCCAACAAAUCUGGCUGCAGCUUGAAUGGAAAGCUUAUCUCCCCUUGCAGGUUUCUAGGGGAGAGUUUAAGCAGGUAUCAGGUGUGAGCAUGGCUCUGAUUUUACAGAAAUCCAAGGUUCAUGGAAGGAAAGCAAGAUCUAUUCUCAUGCCUCUGGGUGGCUGAGGUUUUGCCUGGCUUAAAGCAGAGAGGAUGGAUUUCUCAAAGACUCUUCUGUUCCCCCUCCACUUUGGCUUUGGUUCAGAGGUACAGGCAGCUCCAGAAUCUUCCUGAAGAGCUGGGUGCUGUUUGAUUUGAAGGGUCGUAGGAAGGCCUGGGUGUGGAGGCCUCUGUUAUUUCUCCUAGUUGGAUCAGCCACCUCCAAGGAGAUGUGUCCAUCGUGGUGAGAAUGUCCCCUAGGAAAGGCUUGGAUGAGAGUCUUUCCCACUGGUCCACUGCCAGCCUCUGCAGCCUCCAGGACACACUCCUCUGUCUGCCUGGAUCUCUUAUUGUCUCCCACCUGCUUGCAGGAGAGGUGGGCCUCCUUUCCAGUCUUCAGAAUCCUCUGCAGGGCCAGGCUCUCUGGGCCUCUUGUGUUGUGCAGCUACCCAUGUUGCAAUGGGCUCUCGUCUUUCUGUGUCUCUCGUGUGUUUCCAGCUCCACUCUGGAAGGGAAGGGGCCAACACAGACUCCAGGCUGGUCUGCUCCGUGUUCAUUGAGCCCCAGCUCGACUUGAGCAAUCAGAGCCGGGCUGAGGGCAAGCUGCAUUCUUUUCCGCUGCAGGGUGCAGUUUGCUUUUUUUCCACGUGAAUGAAUUAUGUUUGAAACUGAAAUGGGAGGAAGAGAAAAAUAGAGUGAGUGUGUGUGGGUCUGUGGGCGCACAUACCUAUACGGGCAGGGGGAGAGCAGCAGGCACAUUAUUUUUCCAUUUUCCUUUAAUUAAGGCUCUGUGGAGGUGUGUUUGAAAACAGAGGGUCUCCUAUGCCUUUGAGGAGGGUGAGAACACUGUUUGGGCUGCGUCCCGGGCCAUAUGCAGCGUAUGGUGGCCAAUGAAGCUGGGCCUGGCUCCUUCCAUUGCUUGUCUUGGCAGUCAUUUCUGUGGCUUGUGUUACCAGCUCUGGAACUGAGGGGCUGCCAAGCUCCGUGGAUGUGUGUGUGUGUGCAUGUGUGUGCACACUUGCAUGUGUGUGUGUGUGUGUGUGUGUGUGGUUUGGCCUCUCAAAACUCAGCAGAGACAAAUGCCUUAGUGACCCAGGCUUGGAAUUUGCAGUCUGUUUCUUUGCACUUAUUACUGGCUGUGGGAGGCCCGGCCAGAGCCCACCGUAUUGGUUUUUUUUUGUUUUUUUUUUUAAGUCUGUUUUCCUUCUGCAGCGCAUGGGAUUUGGUCAUAGAGCUCCAUUUCCAAAGCUUUAGCUGGCCAGUGACAUUUUUACAAAAAGGACCCAUGCAGCUACCACACAGUGUGUGCAUAUCUGUGCCCUGCAUCCGCCUUGCCACCAAGGAAGAGAGCUGGGGUGAGGCAAGAAGAGAGGAGUGACAGCUUGCACUUUCCCGGCUUCUCAAGUGCUGGAUACACAUUGCUGGUGGAGAUGAUUUCAUGUCGUUUAUUGAGCACCUACAUUAGGCAGAGCUGUUUCACAGGCAGGGCCUUAUUGGAAGCAUUUCUCUGUUUUCCAGGGAAGAGCGGAAAUCCCCCAGGGGGGGAGGUCCUAAAUUCUUCUCCCACUGGGACAGCUAUGCAGGGAUCCUGCCUGCAGUGUGCAGUGGCUUCUCCUGAGCCCAUCUGCCCUUCUUUGUCUUCUUAUGAAGGCAGAGGAGUGACCCCUUCAAGCAGCACAGAGAGGCAGUGGAUUGAGGGAUGCCAAAGAUGCUGGCCUCUGCUUCUGGGACAGGGCCAGAGCCCCAGCCUGUUGCUCCUACCUUAGGGCCAGGGAUCUGUGCAGCUGUGUUGUGGUCUGCAGGGUGGAGACACUGAGGCAGAGUACAGGAGCUGGGCCUCAUUUCUGUGCCUUCGUAGCCAGCCAUGACCAGGUGCCCUCUGGAUGCAGGAUGGCCCUGCCACCUUGGAGUUUGGGGCUGGAAAGUGGGAGAGCAUAGAAUAUUCUGGAGAGAAUCAUCUUCAUGGCGGUAGGAAAGGGAGACCAUUGUUAAUGACAACAACCCAGAAGGUACCUUAAGGGGUCAUCUAGCUCUAGUGCCCCUGCAGGAAGGAAGGCCCUGUGGCCACAAUGAUUUCAGCUUAUCAUGUGCAGGUGCUGUUCCAGUUAUUGACUAAUUUAAUCUUCUCAGUAGCCUUACAGGGCAAACGACUUUACAGUUGUGGAAAGUAAGGAACAGAGAGGUUAGGUAACUUGCCCUAGAUCAUACAGCUAGUGAGGGGUAGAUUGAGAAUUCACACUUGGACCAUCUGACUCUCAAGCUCCCCUUCUCACCUGCCCUGACUCUCUUGCCUCAGAGUUUGGGACAGACUUCCAAAGAGGGCCUUUUGCUGCUUGCCCUUGUUCUCAAUCUUGGAGCAUUCACCAUCCCUUUGCUCCUCAUCUCCUGGACCUCCUUGGAUUUUGGAGGUUGGUUGACCCACAUCAUUCAGAGUCCAGGAGGCAGAUCGUCACACACGAUUCCCUUGGGGAAUCUUUCCAGGAUCCAGCUCCCAAGACCGCCUAGUCCUCCUCUUGCUGGUUCUCAGAGGCAGGAUCCUUGUUUUUGACGGACAGCCCCGCUCUUGCUCUCAGGCCCCCCCACUCCAUGCCCCCCCCCCUCACCUCCACUUGCUCUCAGCAUCAAGCCUUGAGCCUGUGGCCAGCUGUCCCUGCUGCCAUCCUGGCCUGCUUACCUGGAGGGGGACCGACCUUCCCAAAGAGACCAGGGGGUCUUAUAGCCUCUCUGAAACCUUCGUUUCCCCCGACAGAAAGUUGACAACAACACAGAUCCCAGGUUUCUCUUAAUCUCUCCUUCUCUCUCUCUUUAACCUAUUUAUGUUAUUCCGGAUGAAGAUGCUGGUUGGGCACUUUUAAUAAAGAGAGCCCUCUGUAAGUGGGACCCUCAAAGCCAACCUGUUAUUCACAGACCCUCCCCCUGAAAAAAGACUUAAGAUAUUUUAUCCCUUUACAUACAGUAAACAAGAGAAGAGCCUAAGAGCGGGAAACCUGGGUAAGUUACCUCUACCCUUUAUCCUUUUCAUCAGAGUGAUUUUUCAUGUUAGUCUCCCAGUAGAUAUUUUUGGACUUGAACUGCUUCAUGACUCUUUUUUUUUUCUGUUCCUGCAAUGCAGCAUCCAACUGUGUCCCCACAAAUCCCCAAGGAAGUUGGGUAGAGAGAUACAGAUACCAGAUCUUCAAGUUAUUUUUUUCCCCUUGGGGUCCAUCUGGCCCCUGUUUUAUUCAAGCUGGAUUUUAGGGAGCUGCAUCCAAUCAGCCAGAGUCUUAGGCUCAGCAACAGCCUAGGGUCCACUGUGACCUCCUGAAUGCUUUCUUAUUCAUGGCUGGUUUGUCAGGGCUCAUGUUGGAUUUGGGCAUUCCCCAGCUUUCCUUCAGUGGCUAGUUGCCAACUCAUUCCUGGUCAGUGUCCCAAAUUGCCAAAGUCUCUUUGGAUUCAAGGCCUAUAUGUUGAGGCGCGAGCCUCGUUUCUCAAUUUUGGUGUUUUGCCAAUGUACAGAGCUCGCCUUCUAUUCCUGCAUCCCAGUCACUCAAGGAGUCAGGGCUGGUGUUUAUCUGCCUUUCGAGCCUCCUGAGCUCCCGAGGGGAAAACUCUGGGUUCCUCUCCUCAAGUGUUUAGUGCGUAGUUCUCCUUUUCCCACUAAAUUGUUUCCGUAUGGAACCACCAGUCUGGGAGAUGAUUUCACCUCUUGUCAUCUUUCCUGUGUCUCCCUUCAAGUGGGUAAGUUCCCCCUUGCUGCUAUUGGUUUCCUGCCCCCCACACCCCGCCUGUUUCUAGAUCCCUAAAUCACAUCAAAUUGUUUUACUUUUCAAAUCACCAAAGCUGCCUUUCAGCCUCAGAUCACAGCCAGCCCUGGGCAGUUAAUGAGGAUCCCAUUAGAAAGGCGGCGGCUCAGCCCCUCCACCUCGUCCCCCUCUGCCAGAGACAGCUGAGUGACUUCUCGCUGUGGUGCAGGUCAGGGCUGUGGUGUCUCCUAGGAAUGGCAUGCGGUGAGCGUUCUGUGGUUAGAGCUGAGCACCGAGGGGCUUCCUUGCAGGGUUGGGAAAGACUGAGAGGUUUUGGCUUCAAAGGAAAGUGUGGUCCUGGUCCUCGGGGCCAGCCUGGUACGGGGGAUGGGUUCACUAGAGCAGGAAUGGCAAGAAUUUAUGGGGCCACUACUCCCAGGGGGUGGCUACCCCUCUGGGGGGUUCCCCCCAGUAGCAGAAAAUUCAUUAUGUCUUGGGAGCAUUUGUGAGUGUCUCAUUUAUACCAUCUGUACGAAAAUAAACAGCAGCUCCAAACAGAGCCUGUCGCUCCUGGAACAGAGAGGGGUCUGGCUUCCAUCUCUUAGGGGGCUGAGGCGGGAAACAGGGACGUCUCUGCAGUGCUUCUCUCGGGGUCUACUGUGGGAGUGAAUAACCUGGAGGUGAAAUCGUGGCCUGAUGAUGAGCUUCGAAGCUUCCAGAACCAUCCCCACCCCACCCGCUGAAGUGUGCUGGACUAUGAAUUUGGUAUCGUUCGUUUGCUGUUUCAUUCAUUCAUUGAUCCAUUUGUUCCUUCAAAUACUUCUUCCUCCCCCUUGCUGUGCCAGAAAGGAUGUCAGACUCUGAGGUCACCCAAGCAACAACCAGUCCUGACGGCUGCCUGCCCCCCAAGUAAUCCCUCUGCCUGGCAGGUGGUGGCAUGGCUGGGCCCGGCAAGGUCUUGCCACGUAGGGACGGGUCCUGGCCCUGGCCCUUUUCCUGGCCCACUCUCGAGGGUGGAGGGGUGGCUCUCUCACUGCCCUAAGCCCACCUUGGGAUGAGGGGGGAUCAGAGUUCAUUGAACAUCCCUGAGUGGGAGGCCGCAGGGGCUGUUUCCCUCUGGGCUCCCACUCGGGCUGCUGUGGGGUUAUUAAGGGAACUUCCCAAACCUGGAUCUGGUGGCAGGUAGAGUAGAGGGUCCUCUGGGCAAGAGAUUGACCCUCCCAUUCAGGGCUUCUGUGUGAAAGUCCAUCCGUUGGAACGUACUUCCUUCAGCUGAAGGCAUCCCACAGCUCAAACCCCAUGAGGGGAAAAAAAGGGCAGGGUCCCAAAGUCCAGGGACCUCAAGUCCAGCCUUGGUUCUGCCCUUCUCUGGCUGUGUGACCUUGGGCAAGUCAUUCAACUUGAGCUUCAGCUUCCUCAUGUGCAAAAUGAGGAUGUGGUUUAGAUGAGCACAGGGCCUCCACCAGCUCCUGAGACUGUCACUCAGUGUGAAUGAGUCUCAGGUCCUUUUCUGAGGUGACCCAGGGGACACUAGGUGCUGAUGAGGGACAGAAAGGAUGUGGAAUGGAAAGUAAGGGCCAAGGGGCCAGGUGUGUGACAUAGAGAUGGUGGAGCACAUGAAAGUGUCAGGGCACCAAAUACCAGUGAGUGCAAGGCCAGGAACCCUGUGCAGAGGGUUGAGUGGCAGGCUGUGUAUGUGCAAGGAUGCGGUGGCAGUUCCACUGUCCUGUCUUUUCUUCUUUUCUCUUUGUAGUUCUGGGGAUUGAGCCCAGGGGCACUCUACCACUGAGCACUAUCCUCAGCUUUUUUUUUAUUUUGAAACAGGAUUUUUUUUAAGGCUGGCCUCAACUUUGUGAUUCUCCUGCCUCAGCCUCUCCAGCGGCUGGGAUGAAGGCAUGCGCCACCACGCCCAGCUCACGUGGUCCUUUCUUUAAACAAAGUGAUGUCCCUUGAAGUCUUUGUGGUUUGAAGUUGCAAAUCACUCACAUGCUUUUCCCCUCAGAGCGUAGAACCUAUUUUUUAAAAAAAAGGCCUGUGCACUGGCUCAUGCUUGUAAUCCCAGUGGCUUGUGAGGCUGACACAGGAGGAUUGUGAGUUCAAAGCCAGCCUCAGCAACAGCGAGGUGCUAAGCAACUCAGUGAGUCCCUGUCUCUAAAUAAAAUACAAAAUGGGGCUGGAGAUGUGGAGUGCCUUUGAGUUCAAUCCCUGGUACCAAAAAAAAAGAGAGAGAGAGAGAGAGAGAAAGAGACAGGACUUGGAUGGGGACCAGAUUUCUCCCUUGAGAAUGACAUGAGAUGGACAGUGUGGUUUGCACCAUAGCCAGGACAGUCUCCCUGAUAAUGCCCCUCUCUCGGGUUCUCCAUCUGAGAACCUGAACAGGGGCAGAUGGUGGUGGGUCACCCUCCAGGGCCACUUGUGUGUGAGUGAGACACAGCCCAAUACAGCGUGGCCUGGGGGCACCACAGCUCCCCUGUCUUGCCAAAUGCAUCCUUCUCCAUGAAAUACCAGAGGUGAGAAUGGACAGACAGGCCGGAGAUUUCUCCUGGGGAUUUCAGUGACAGUGGAGGAGUUUUAAUUUUAUGGCCCUGUGCAGACGGGGGAAAAGAGAGAAAUGAGUUCCUUUUUGGGAAUGGAUGCCCCUUACAAGGCUGCUCUGAAGUGUGGGCAUCUGACCUCCACGUUUGCAGUGCCUGGCAGCUUGGGGCAGCUUUCAGGAUCAGACAGACGGGUGGAGGCAGCGGUGGGAAUGUGCUCAGGGGCUGGACCCGCCUGGCUUUAUUGGAAGAUGAGCUUACUUCAGUGCCACCUGUGCCUCCAAGUGCCUGUCCCUUACCCCUGAGCUUCCUCAGUAUAAGGAAGGAAGAAUCAGGUCUCUGGUGUUGACCUGUCUCAUCUAUGUCCUUCCUUCAUGCCUGCGCUGUCUUCCCUCCUAAACCUCUUGAGUCCUUG
rnacentral:lncRNA from 1 species